AGAUGUGAGAGCAAUCUGGCUGAGACAUUUGCUGCCCCUUUGUUCGUCAGUGUUGAUUUGGCUGAGCUGACCUUGGAGGCAGAUGUCCCCUUCCUUCCUCACUGCUCCCUGCGCACCCCACCCCCAGCCCCCUGGAGCUGCACACAUGGAGACCCUGGCAAACAAACAGGAAGGGAAGCUGUGGUCUUGAGCGAAAUUGACUAGGGUAAGGGGCAGGGGCGGGAACUGGGACUAAGAACUAGGAAACUCUAUCAAUGAAGGGCCAAUGAUGAGGGAUG
rnacentral:snRNA from 1 species